AACGAACGCUGGCGGCGUGCUUAAGACAUGCAAGUCGUGCGAGAAAGCCACCUUCGGGUGGCGAGUACAGCGGCGCACGGGUGAGUAACGCUGGGUAAUCUACCCAAGGGUCUGGGAUAACUCCGGGAAACUGGGGCUAAUACCGGAUAAGACCACGACGUCCUCGGACGACGCGGAAAAAGGUGGCCUCUCCCUUGGAAGCUACCGCCCUCGGAUGAGCCCGCGUCCCAUUAGCUUGUUGGUGGGGUAACGGCCCACCAAGGCUCCGAUGGGUAGCUGGUCUGAGAGGAUGAUCAGCCACACUGGAACUGAGACACGGUCCAGACUCCUACGGGAGGCAGCAGUCGGGAAUUUUGGGCAAUGGGCGAAAGCCUGACCCAGCAACGCCGUGUGAGGGAUGAAGGCCUUCGGGUCGUAAACCUCUGUCGGAAGGGAAGAAUUGCCUCCGUUCGAACAGGGCGGGGGCUUGACGGUACCUUCAAAGGAAGCACCGGCUAACUCCGUG
rnacentral:rRNA from 1 species